UACAAUUUCUUGUUAAAGAAAGAAUUGGCAAAUGUAAAAAAGCAAACUUAAUCUUCUGAUAGAUUCUGCAGCUUACAAUUUCUAGCACUUGUUUGGAGGCGAGCUGUGGCUUGACUUGAAUCCCUUGUUACAGAACUUCCUUGCGUGGCAUCUUGCAGGGAUAGUCCCAUUAAGCACUUUACCAUGUGAUAAUUUAGACAUGUUUUUCUUUAUAAGGUUGUAGCAUCUUUUCACCAUAUCUUUGUUAACCCUGUUGUGAAAGCACCCCAAUUUAGGAUCAUCAAUAGUUUGAUUAGUUACCCAUAGCACUGCAGCGGCUGCAAUUGAAGAUGGGGUAUAAUCCAAGAAAUUGAUCACUCUUAGUAUGCUGAUAAUAAUAUCGGAGGAAUGUGAAAGAACAGAAUGGAUACUGUUAUUACAAUUAGGACUGACACAUGAAAGUUUUUCAAUGAAAUAAUGUAGAAAAUAGAAAGGAGUUAUGAUGUGUAAUCGCCACUUGAGUCUAGCCAUGACCAAGAUUUCCAUCCUUUGAACUGUGCUUGGCUUGAAUAAAAAUCUGGGUUCUAAUGUUUGCAAGUCUAAGAGAAGCGGCACACUUGUUUCCUCCAAUUUUGCUGCUACUGAUAGGCAUGCUACUGCUAACAGCUGCGGGGGCCAUCCUUUCCCUUCCGGAAGAGUAUGAAAUGAGAGGAAACGAUCCAAAUAGUUGACAGAGAGAUAUGCUGUUUCAGGCCUAAACUGGUAGUAAGCUUGCACCUUCAGCAUCCAAUUCACUGCUUCUUGACGACCAAUAACGAUCUCUGGAAGUUCAUGAAAUCUUGUAACUAACUGGGUUUCCGGCAUUUGAUCAAGCUCAGAAUCGAAUAUAUUAUCAACGAAGCUCUCGUCGUCAAUUGGGAAACUAGAAGAAAGGCUUUCAACUGGGUUAAUGUCAGCUUCAGAGGAAACAAAUUCACUAGCUGCUUCAUUGCAGUACAAGUUAAUAGAAGCAGAAUAGUCUGCAGGCAGAGACAUUGUAUAUGACUGUUUUUCCAAUGGAAACUGUAAAAUCUUG
rnacentral:misc_RNA from 1 species